AGCACAACAACAUCAUUUACUCGUAUAAUUCCGGGAAUUGGCCCGGAAGUCUCUACAGGUCACCGUAAUGACCUGGCUACGAUUUAAGAAGAGAACUAU
rnacentral:ncRNA from 2 species